GACGAACGCUGGCGGCGUGCCUAAUACAUGCAAGUUGAACGCUAAAGCUUUAACUGGUGCUUGCACCGACCUAAGUUUUUAGAGUAGCGGACGGGUGAGUAACACGUGGGUAACCUGCCCAUCAGAGGGGGAUAACACUUGGAAACAGGUGCUAAUACCGCAUAAUUCCUUUUACCGCAUGGUAAAAGGCUGAAAGGCGCUUCUGGUGUCACUGAUGGAUGGACCCGCGGUGCAUUAGCUAGUCGGUGGGGUAACGGCCUACCGAGGCGAUGAUGCAUAGCCGACCUGAGAGGGUGAUCGGCCACAUUGGGACUGAGACACGGCCCAAACUCCUACGGGAGGCAGCAGUAGGGAAUCUUCGGCAAUGGACGAAAGCCUGACCGAGCAACGCCGCGUGAGUGAAGAAGGUUUUCGGAUCGUAAAGCUCUGUUGUUGGAGAAGAACGUGCGUGAGAGUAACUGUUCACGCAGUGACGGUAUCCAACCAGAAAGUCACGGCUAACUACGUGCCAGCAGCCGCAGUAAAAC
rnacentral:rRNA from 1 species